UACGUAGGGGGCAAGCGUUGUCCGGAAUUAUUGGGCGUAAAGAGCGUGUAGGCGGUUUGGUAAGUCGGAUGUGAAAGCCCCGGGCUCAACCCGGGAAGUGCACUCGAUACUGCCAAGCUAGAGUAUCGGAGAGGUUGGUGGAAUUCUCGGUGUAGAGGUGAAAUUCGUAGAUAUCGAGAGGAACACCGGUGGCGAAGGCGGCCAACUGGACGAAUACUGACGCUGAGACUCGAAAGCGUGGGGAGCAAACAGG
rnacentral:rRNA from 1 species